UACAGAGGUGCCGAGCGUUAGGCGGAAUUACUGGGCGUAAAGCGUGCGUAGACGGUAGCGUAAGUCAGAUGUGAAAGCCCCGGGCUCAACCUGGGAACUGCAUUUGAGACUGCUCUGCUCGGGUGCGGAAGAGGGAAGCGGAAUUUCCGGUGUAGCGGUGAAAUGCGUAGAUAUCGGAAGGAACACCAGUGGCGAAAGCGGCUUCCUGGUCCGACACCGACGUUCAGGCACGAAAGCGUGGGGAGCAAACAGG
rnacentral:rRNA from 1 species